UCUAGACAUCUGGUGUUACAUGCCCCUACAACACCAGGUCCGGAUUCCAGUGAGCGAUUCGACGCAAGAGCUUAAAUCCUUUUGCUCUUCUGUAAAGUGUAGAUAGUCUUGCUGGAUCAUCAGACUGCUUAUGCAGCAGGGAUCCGGGACAACACUUGGUGGAAGCAAAAACUGAGCAUCUGACUGAGACUGACGGUCAUCGACAAUGGGACAUAUCGACAUCUGCAGCGUGUGCAAAUACGUGUGCGCGUGAAGCAUGCGAUCAUAGAACGCUUCUUUGCUCUCCACCUGGGUAUAUCCGGAACUAUAGCGAUUGCGAGUAGGGUUUGCUCAUGUUCUCUGACCACUCGCAAGAUCCGGCACAGGUGCGGCAGUUCCUGGCAGGUCGUUAGUCGUCAUCAGCAUGUAUCUCGAGUCACAGAGCUUCCAUGUCCAGUUUCAGCGAGUGCGAUCACAAAAGCCUUAAACCAUUAUUGAUUCUGGGAAACCUGAAAUUCUAAGCUUACAUUUAUCUGGCAAGUUCUUACCACCAUUAUGGAAUGCCAGGAGCUUGUACAUGCAUUGUACGAAGCCAUGACCCUCGCUCUUCUCACUCCUGCGGACGCCAUCCUUGAUCCAGGAACAAGAAAUGUCCAGCUUUGCUUUUUGUAAGACAGAAAUCUUGUGGAGUGCCCACAAGACCUUGUGGACAGGCGCAUUUACAGGUGCUGUUGUAAGCUGAAUGGAAAUACUGGUUCAACGACUCUCACAUGAUUUCUUCUCCUCAACUGCUGAUUGGAAUAGGAAUUCGAGCGCACAUGGAUUAUCUGCAGUUUAGCCUGGUAGGGGAGGAGGACUUCUUAUGGUAAAGCGUAGGGUUUAUGCUUGACCGGCAUGUGUUUGGGGAAAACAUGAAUUGACGAUCACGUAUUGCCGUAUGAAGAAGGCAAGAGCAGACUUAAAAUGUCGUAUGGAUUCCUGACCAACAGUUAGUCCAUUAACAACUACUGUUGUAAGCCAGAAUCUUGAAGAUUCCAUGUAACAAGUCCGUUGGGUUUUCAAAAUCUCAUUUAUGCUCCGAGACAA